rnacentral:rRNA from 1 species
GAAAAGCCCUGGGUUAAUACCCUGGGGUCAUGACGGUACCGUAAGAAUAAGCACCGGCUAACUUCGUGCCAGCAGCCGCGGUAAUACGAAGGGUGCAAGCGUUACUCGGAAUUACUGGGCGUAAAGCGUGCGUAGGUGGUCUGUCAAGUCCGAUGUGAAAGCCCUGGGCUCAACCUGGGAACUGCAUUGGAAACUGGCAGUCUGGAGUGCGGUAGAGGGUAGCGGAAUUCCCGGUGUAGCAGUGAAAUGCGUAGAUAUCGGGAGGAACAUCCGUGGCGAAGGCGGCUACCUGGACCAGCACUGACACUGAGGCACGAAAGCGUGGGGAGCAAACAGGAUUAGAUACCCUGGUAGUCCACGCCCUAAACGAUGCGAACUGGAUGUUGGGGGCACUUUGGCCUUCAGUAUCGAAGCUAACGCGUUAAGUUCGCCGCCUGGGGAGUACGGUCGCAAGACUGAAACUCAAAGGAAUUGACGGGGGCCCGCACAAGCGGUGGAGUAUGUGGUUUAAUUCGAUGCAACGCGCAGAACCUUACUUGGCCUUGACAUCCACGGAACCCUCCAGAGACGGAGGGGUGCCUUCGGGAACCGUGAGACAGGUGCUGCAUGGCUGUCGUCAG